GUGAGGGUGGAAAAGAGAAAUUACACAGUGAGGAUGAAGGAUGAAGUAGUAGGAGAGGGGUAGACAAGUACAAGGCAAAGGUAGUCUGGGUCGAAGGAUAUCUCGCCCGGGUGGAGGAUGAGUGUGUUGAGGGUGCCGCGGCGGAUCCUCGGGGCGCCUCCUCUUACUAUCACCACCAUCAGCUGGCUCUUCCCCACCUCCACCACAGACUCCCCGUACAGCACCACCCACACCAGCAGCCCCUUGGCGUCUGGGAAGGUCGAGGCGGUUACAAGGGAUGGCCCCAUAUACCGUAACACUCAUCCUUGUCUCCACCUCCCCGAUGGCAGAGAAGAGGCGGACAACAAGCUCAUAUGUGCCAGGCUCCAUGUACUGAUGUGUUAGGGUGAGGGUGUUUGGU